rnacentral:lncRNA from 1 species
CUCAUUUUAGUAAUUUAUUCUAUUACUCGAUAUAUUUUUGUAUUUGUGUUACAUGUAGAUGUUAAAAUCUAAACCGAUGCAAAACAGCCAAGUUUUAUUUAUGUAAAAAGUCACCAAAAGCGAUUGUCUUCUAGUGCGAAGAACCAUAUAUCUACCUAGUCGUUCUGUCUGUAUAUCACUAGAGCCGAAGCCAGUUUUCGUGGUAUGCUGUCUUAGCAGAUGAAAUAGUCAGUCGUAUAUCUGU